rnacentral:sRNA from 1 species
UUGACUUUAUCGUUGCCAACGCUUAACGUCAGGAGUGAGGGUAAGGGAGAGGUUUCCCCCUCCCCCUGGUGUCUUAGUAUGCUGGGUAGCUGAUCACUAAGAGUAUCACCAGUAUGAUGACUAGCCGCAUCAUAACCCUUUCCUUAUU